AUGGCAGUCACCUCGUCACACGGCCUAAGAGGGGACCCUGGCUCCAGUCCCCCCCGAGGAGGGGGCCCCAGGCCAGCGUCUUCUCCACUCUGGCCUCAGCCUCCUCAUCGGGAAGUCGUGGCCCAGCUCCAGGAUGUGGAGCGGCUGGGUGGCCGGGGGAGGGGGUCAGGUCCUGGAGGGUGCAGGACCUGGGAGCAGGUGCUGGGGGGCAGGUGGGGUUGGGUCCUGGGGGGUGGGGGCCGAGUGCUGGGGGGCCGGGGGCGUGUGUGGAGAACAGGCCGUGGGGCUCCGCAGCCAGGCGCAGAGCGUCGUGUCACCCGGGCCUCAGGAGACCGCAGCCGCACCUGCCCGCACCUGCCCGGACGCAGAGCCCUCCCCGCGGGUCGCUGCCCCGCCCCAGCCAGUGAGGAUGGUGGAGAUGCUGCCCCCCAGCCCUCCAAGGGUGUCUGCAGCUGGGGGGGGCCGGGUCCCCAAAUGCCCCCGAAGGGGAUGCGGCCCCAAGAGAGGGACGUGGUCCAGGCAAGAAGCUGUGGGUUUGCGAUAUGCCUGCAGGGCGGCCCGGCCGGUGCGAGGACACCUUUAGGGCCACCACGGCAGCGAAAGAGGCUAGAGGUCCGUGGGACCGCACGUGAGGUCCUUCAGGGGGCGGGCAGGGCGAGAAGCCGCGGGGAGCAGCUGCUGUGUGUCCCAUUACGCGAGGGCGCUGCAGGAGGCCUGCGAGGGUGCUCCCCCCCAGGAGGGUGCUUCCCUUCCCCCACGAAGGUGCUUCCCUUACCCCCCUACAAGGGUGCUUCCCCCCCACGAGGGUGCUCCCCCUACGAGGGUGCCCCCCCCAUGAGAGUGCUCCCCCCACAAGGGUGCUUUCCCCCCCUGAGGGUGCUUCUCCCCAUGAGGGUGCUUCCCUCCCUGAGGGUGCUCUCCCCACGAGGGUGCUCCCCCCAGAGGUCUUUGUCUCACUCCGAGCCCUUUGCUGCCCUGAAGCGGCCACCAGGGUGUGGCAGACAAUCGUGGCAAAGACCUGGAUCCAAGGACAUCCGCGGGGUCUGGGCUGGGGCUCCUCUGGGGCGCCCACACUCCACCUGA
rnacentral:lncRNA from 1 species